GUCAAAAAUAACAAUUGAAGAUUAAGGGAGUUGAAAGAGUUGAAGAGAAUAAAAAAGCAUUGAAAUUAUCCAUGUUUCGCAAAGGAGAAAAACGUGCAAAAGCUUGGCACUGCAGAAUUGUAAAGCCAAGAAUGGUAUCAACAUUCGGCAACUGCGAAUUCGAAUAACUUUCGAUUUCUUCAGAUUGAUUGAAUGAAGCCAUACAGAUUGCUCGAGGUGAUGAGUUUGAUAUUUCAACACGAGUACUAUACUAUUGAUAAAGACGGAGCUAGUAGCUGGCGAGUUCGCUAUAGUUGAUUCAGUUAUUGAGGUGACCCGCCGCAUUGUUCGUGGAGGCUGCCAAAAGAGUCUUUAUCAUUUAUUCAUAUAAUGUCUUUUGUAAUUCUCUUAGAUGCUUCAUGGUCUUAGAAUGAAAUUUGGGUUAGAGAAUUAUUACUUGAGUCGUCAUUAAAUUUUAUAAAUAAUAUAUGG